ACGUGAUACCGAUACUCAACCAUUAAGGCAAAAUAGAAAGCUUUAAUGAGUAAGAGGGCGUGAAUACUGUGCAGAAGGGCUUGGAUGUGAAUCUGGCUGGAACAGUAUUUAGUGCAGAUCUUGGUGGUAGUAGCAAAUAUUCAAAUGAGAACUUUGAAGACCGAAGUGGAGAAGGGUUCCAUGAGAACAGCAUUUGUUCAUGGGUUACUCGAUCCUAAGACAUAGGGAAAUUCCUUGUAAUACAUGCGAUCUUACGACCGCAUUGUCAAAAGGGAAUGAGGUUGAUAUUCCUCAAGCUGGAUGUGGUGGCAACGUGGCAACACAAACAAGCUCGGAAACACCGGUAUGUGCAACUGGAAGAGUUCUCUUUUCUUCUUAACAAUCUAUCUCCCUGAAUGGAUUAUCCAAAGCAAGGGAUAUAUGGUUGGCAGAGCAGUUCAUCAUAGAAUUGUCAGUGAUGCCCAUAACGGUCCUUGAAAAUCUGAGUAAGGUAUCCAAAC
rnacentral:rRNA from 1 species